ACUAGGAUAGCUCGGUCAGUAGAGUGUGAAUCUCUUAACCUCAUGAUUGUGGGUUCGAGUCCCACGCUGCGCAAAUA